CGCAUAUACCAGGCUGAAGGUUUACGUGGCGAGAGUAAGGAGUCGGGAUCAGGGCUUCAGGCUUCCCCUGGCCACGAGUGGACUGGACGGCUGGGUGGGCAGAGGGGCACAAACCGCGUAGGGACUAACUCCUCUGCGUCCCCUUCUGGGAAACCAAACUCCAGGCUUCCUUUAGACCCCCCACCCCCGGGUCCCGCCCCGGGCACCCUGUGCAGCCGUCUUCUACGAAAUCGCAAGCCCGUGGACACCAAAUUUAUCGCCCGCGCCCGAGCCGGGAGCAGGCAUUUUGAAUGCUCACUCAACGGCGUCUACCACCCCAACUGACUAGUACAGCGGUUAUUCGGGUUUGCCCACUCCAGUCUACUCCCCUUGACUGCCAGGAACUGAGGAUAAAGCAUUUAACAAAGAAACUGCUUGUGCAUGUGGAGCUUCCAUCAGAAAAAUAAACAGAGGCAAUGUCCAAUGAACACCAAUAUGCUAAAGAAAAAUAUUGUAACCCUGACUGGUGUGGCUCCGUGUAUUAAGUGCUGGCCUGUGAACCAAAAGGUCGCUAGUUCGAUUCCCAGUCAGAGCACAUGCUUGAGUUGCUGGUCAGGCAACCAAUCGAUGUAUCUCUUGCACAUUGAU